CAACGCGCCCCAGGUCAGGCGGGGCUACCCGCUGAGUUUAAGCAUAUCAAUAAGCGGAG
rnacentral:rRNA from 1 species